CUAAUUAGGGGGGGGACCUAAUGUCCUUCCCCCUGGCCCCCACCCCUGAGCGUGGGGGUAGGGGUGGGGGCCGGGGGGAGGACAAUAGGUCUCCCCCAU